rnacentral:rRNA from 1 species
UACGAAGGGUGCAAGCGUUAAUCGGAAUUACUGGGCGUAAAGCGUGCGUAGGCGGUUGGCUAAGUCCGAUGUGAAAGCCCUGGGCUCAACCUGGGAAUGGCAUUUGAAACUGGCUGGCUAGAGUGUGAUAGAGGAUGGCGGAAUUCCCGGUGUAGCGGUGAAAUGCGUAGAGAUCGGGAGGAACAUCCGUGGCGAAGGCGGCCAUCUGGAUCAACACUGACGCUGAGGCACGAAAGCGUGGGGAGCAAACAGG